AUGUGUGUCCCAAAAAACUAGGGAGGCAUGGGGUUUCGGGACAUACAUAGUUUUAAUUUGGCCAUGUUAGCCAAAGAAUGUUGGCGCCUUAUUGAUAACUAUGAUUCCAUGUGUGCAAGAGUUUUGAGAGCUAAAUACUACCCUUCUGGUGAUUUAUUGAAUUGUGCAUCGGAAAAGGGAUCAUUAUACAUUUGGUAGAGCAUAUGGCUAGGGAUUCAAACUUUCAGGAAAGGAUGUAUCUGGAGGGUUGGCAAUGGCAUGAAAAUUAACAUAUGGGAUGACUGUUGGAUACUCAGUAGCAAUUCGAGGAAGAUAAUUACUUCGGGCAAUUGUGUUCUUUCAAUGGUAAAUGAACUCAUAAACCCAGCCACGGGUGAGUGGGACGAAGAGCUGAUACGUGACAACUUCUAGAGCAUCGAUGCCGAGAGGAUUAUGCAAAUCCCCAUUCAGCAGGAGACAGAAGAUUGUGUUGCUUGGCACCUUACAAAGUCAGGCAUAUUUUCUGGCCGGUCAGCUUACUACAGACAUUGGGAGGAAUAUUAUGAAUCAAGUAACUUAAAUCAUCAGGGUAUACGUGGUUCGUCGGCGCACCCGGUUUGGAGGAGACUAUAGAGCCUGAAAGUUCCUAGUAAAAUUAAAAUUUUCAUGUGGAGAUGUUUACAUGAUGAUGCAAUCCCUUGUUACUGCGAUCUUGCAAACAGACACAUAUCCUACUCUGCCCAGUGUCCGAUCUGCUCUGCACAUGCGGAGGAUAUAGCACAUAUGGCUUUCAAAUGCAGUCGAGCACAGGAGGUGUGGAAGGGACUUGGUCUACAGGAAUUAAUAGCUACAGUAGUUCUACCUGGUCGCUUCGGAGCAGAAAUUGUUGAGAUUAUGCUUUAUGAGUUGUGA
rnacentral:rRNA from 1 species